rnacentral:rRNA from 1 species
CGGCGAGUGAAGCGGCAACAGCUCAAAUUUGAAAUCUGGCCCUUUCAGGGUCCGAGUUGUAAUUUGUAGAGGAUGUUUCGGGCGUGGCUCCGGUCUAAGUUCCUUGGAACAGGACGUCAUAGAGGGUGAGAAUCCCGUAUGUGACUGGUAGCCUAUGCCCAUGUGAAACUCCUUCGACGAGUCGAGUUGUUUGGGAAUGCAGCUCAAAAUGGGUGGUAAAUUUCAUCUAAAGCUAAAUAUUGGCCAGAGACCGAUAGCGCACAAGUAGAGUGAUCGAAAGAUGAAAAGCACUUUGGAAAGAGAGUUAAACAGUACGUGAAAUUGUUGAAAGGGAAGCGCUUGCAACCAGACUUGCACGUGGCCGAUCAACCGGUGUUCUCACCGGUGCACUCGGUUGCGUUCAGGCCAGCAUCGGUUUCGACGGUUGGAUAAAGGCCCCGGGAAUGUAGCUUCUUUCGGGGAGUGUUAUAGCCCGGGGUGCAAUGCAGCCUGUUGGGACCGAGGACCGCGCUUCGGCUAGGAUGCUGGCGUAAUGGUUGUAAGCGACCCGUCUUGAAACACGGACCAAGGAGUCUAACAUCUAUGCGAGUGUUUGGGUGUCAAACCCAUACGCGUAAUGAAAGUGAACGGAGGUGAGAACCCUUAAGGGUGCAUCAUCGACCGAUCCUGAUGUCUUCGGAUGGAUUUGAGUAAGAGCAUAGCUGUUGGGACCCGAAAGAUGGUGAACUAUGCCUGAAUAGGGUGAAGCCAGAGGAAACUCUGGUGGAGGCUCGCAGCGGUUCUGACGUGCAAAUCGAUCGUCAAAUUUGGGUAUAG